rnacentral:lncRNA from 1 species
AUUCGCUGUAUGAAGGAAGAUGGUAAGGGAUACUGGAGUGACUGGAGUGAAGAAGCAAGUGGGAUCACCUAUGAAGAUAGACCAUCUAAAGCACCAAGUUUCUGGUAUAAAAUAGAUCCAUCCCAUACUCAAGGCUACAGAACUGUACAACUCGUGUGGAAGACAUUGCCUCCUUUUGAAGCCAAUGGAAAAAUCUUGGAUUAUGAAGUGACUCUCACAAGAUGGAAAUCACAUUUACAAAAUUACACAGUUAAUGCCACAAAACUGACAGUAAAUCUCACAAAUGAUCGCUAUCUAGCAACCCUAACAGUAAGAAAUCUUGUUGGCAAAUCAGAUGCAGCUGUUUUAACUAUCCCUGCCUGUGACUUUCAAGGUUUGUAUCUGUGAGAUGGAGCCUGACUCUUGGGUGGAAAAAUGG